rnacentral:lncRNA from 1 species
GGAUAGAUCUUGGAUACAAAGUUGAUAUACACAAAGGGUUACAAACUUAAAAGUGUACUAUAAAGGGCCUGCAAAAAGUGGUAAGCAUGUUCUGCAUGAGGUUGUAAAUUAUAGUUGUAUUGUAGGGUUGGUUGGGAGCAUUUCAUCAGAUCGGGUAUUGGUGUUGUAUUACUAUGAUCCUACUGACAACAAUGAGCUAGGG